rnacentral:rRNA from 1 species
AUGGCUCAGGAUGAACGCUAGCGGCAGGCUAACACAUGCAAGUCGAGGGGCAACGCGAGUAGCAAUACUUGGCGGCGACCGGCGCAAGGGUGCGUAACGCGUGAGCAACAUGCCCGUAUCAGGGGGAUAAUCCAGGGAAACUUGGUCUAAUACCCCAUAGUAAUUUUGUAAGGCAUCUUAUAAGAUUUAAAGCUUUGGUGGAUACGGAUUGGCUCGCGUGACAUUAGCUGGAUGGUAAGGUAACGGCUUACCAUGGCUAUGAUGUCUAGGGGUUCUGAGAGGGAGGUCCCCCACACUGGAACUGAGACACGGUCCAGACUCCUACGGGAGGCAGCAGUGAGGAAUAUUGGACAAUGGAUGGAAAUCGGAUCCAGCCAUGCCGCGUGAAGGAAGAAGGUCCUAUGGAUUGUAAACUUCUUUUGUAUGGGAGCAAUAAGGCCUACGAGUAGGUUGAUGAGAGUACCAUACGAAUAAGCACCGGCUAACUCCGUGCCAGCAGCCGC